rnacentral:rRNA from 1 species
UACGUAGGGUGCAAGCGUUGUCCGGAAUUAUUGGGCGUAAAGGGCUCGUAGGCGGUUCGUCACGUCGGGAGUGAAAACUCGGAGCUUAACUCCGAGCCUGCUUCCGAUACGGGCAGACUAGAGGUAGGCAGGGGAGAGCGGAACUCAUGGUGUAGCGGUGGAAUGCGCAGAUAUCAGGAAGAACACCGGUGGCGAAGGCGGCUCUCUGGGCCUUACCUGACGCUGAGGAGCGAAAGCGUGGGUAGCGAACAGG